CGCAACGCGGGGCCGGGAGCCGCGGGACGGCGGGGGGGGCAGGCGUGGCUGGGGAUUACUGGCGGGAAAGGGCGCGUAGGCGGAAUGGCAAGUCGGUCGUGAAAUCCUUCGGCUCAACCGAAGAACGUCGAUCGAAACUGCCGUUCUUGAGGAUUGCAGAGGAGACUGGAAUUCCCGGUGUAGCGGUGAAAUGUGUAGAGAUCGGGAGGAACACCGGUGGCGAAGGCGGGUCUCUGGGCAAUUCCUGACGCUGAGGCGCGAAAGCGUGGGGAGCAAACGGGAUUAGAUACCCCGGUAGUC
rnacentral:rRNA from 1 species